rnacentral:rRNA from 2 species
UUAAACUAAAGAGUUUGAUCCUGGCUCAGAUUGAACGCUGGCGGCAUGCCUUACACAUGCAA